UACGUAGGGCGCAAGCGUUGUCCGGAAUUAUUGGGCGUAAAGAGCUCGUAGGCGGUUUGUCGCGUCUGCUGUGAAAGCCCGGGGCUCAACCCCGGGUCUGCAGUGGGUACGGGCAGACUAGAGUGCAGUAGGGGAGACUGGAAUUCCGUGUGAGGCGUGAAAUGCGCAGAUAUCAGGAGGAACACCGAUGGCGAAGGCAGGUCUCUGGGCUGUUACUGACGCUGAGGAGCGAAAGCAUGGGGAGCGAACAGGAUUAGAUACCCGGGGUA
rnacentral:rRNA from 1 species